rnacentral:tRNA from 2 species
GGGCCUGUAGCUCAGAGGAUUAGAGCACGUGGCUACGAACCACGGKGUCGGGGGKUCGAAUCCCUCCUCGCCCM